UACGGGGGGGGGCAAGCGUUGUUCGGAAUUACUGGGCGUAAAGGGCUCGUAGGCGGCCAACUAAGUCGGAUGUGAAAUCCCCAGGCUUAACCUGGGAACUGCAUCCGAUACUGGAUGGCUUGAAUCCGGGAGAGGGAUGCAGAAUUCCAGGUGUAGCGGUGAAAUGCGUAGAUAUCUGGAGGAAUACCGGUGGCGAAGGCGGCAUCCUGGACCGGCAUUGACGCUGAGACGCGAAGGCGUGGGGAGCGAACGGG
rnacentral:rRNA from 1 species